CAUGCCAUUCAAAAUGAAAGUGGUAAAUGUGUAAACUGUCGGUCGGUAGUUUUCCUCAUAGGUAAUACAUGUAUAUGGUAAUCUAUGUCCGUGUCACUUAACGUGAGAUCCACUUCCCUGUGUGAUCUGUGUCGUAAUGUGAUCUCUCUGUCGUGAUGCGAUCCCAGCCCGGGAACAUCUCAGCAUUAUUCAUAUCAGUAUUGCAACACUAAAAGCAAUGAAAGCUUUACACCUAUUUUUAGUGUGUGCAGUCAUUGUAGGCUGGAU